rnacentral:lncRNA from 1 species
UACACAGCUGUAGCCAGCCAGUGUACUGUAUACCAUGUUGAAAUACACAGCUGUAGCCAGCCAGUGUACUGUAUACCAUGUUGAAAUACACAGGUGUAGCCAGCCAGUGUACUGUAUACCAUGUUGAAAUAUACAGGUGUAGCCAGCCAGUGUACUGUAUACCAUGUUGAAAUACACAGGUGUAGUCAGCCAGUGUACUGUAUACCAUGUUGAAAUAUACAGGUGUAGUAGUAUUCUAGGAUUUGUCCAUUACAUGCAAGUCCAUUACCAAGUUGGAACAUAUUUUUAUUUCAUAUUAUAAUGCUAUUUUUGUGUUGUUGUAUAUCCUCUGCCUUGACGAUGGAAGUAUCCGGUUGAUCCGAUUUGAGGUGACGCUGGCGUCAUAAAGUAAAAGCACAUAUAUAUACUAUAUGAAAUAAUGUUUACACUCCUGUUGUUUAUAAAAAAGGCAUUGUUAAUUCAAAUGUCUGUAUUUCAAUAUACUUAUUUUAUACUGCUUUAUAAUGUGUAUGAAAUGUGUAUGAAGUGCCCUGUAUUGUUGUAAUCACUUGAUGUGAUUUUUUGCAUUUGACAUUAGUGUCCCGUUGUAUUUUUCAAUAUUAAAAGGCCCAGAGCAGUCAAAAAAGUUAUUUACCUGUGUUUUAUAUAUAUUUCCACACUAUGAGGUUGGAAUAAUGUUGUUCCAAAUCU